UUGUAAUCUGGCGUCUUCGACGUCCGAGUUGUAAUCUCGAGAAGUGUUUUCCGUGAUAGACCGCAUACAAGUCUCUUGGAACAGAGCGUCAUAGUGGUGAGAACCCAGUACACGAUGCGGAUGCCUAUUACUUUGUGAUACACUUUCGAAGAGUCGAGUUGUUUGGGAAUGCAGCUCAAAUUGGGUGGUAAAUUCCAUCUAAAGCUAAAUAUUGGCGAGAGACCGAUAGCGAACAAGUACCGUGAGGGAAAGAUGAAAAGCACUUUGGAAAGAGAGUUAACAGUACGUGAAAUUGUUGGAAGGGAAACACAUGCAGUGAUACUUGCUAUUCGGGGCAACUCGAUUGGCAGGCCCGCAUCAGUUUUUCGGGGCGGAAAAUCGUAGAGAGAAGGUAGCAGUUUCGGCUGUGUUAUAGCUCUUUACUGGAUUCGCCCUGGGGGACUGAGGAACGCAGCGUGCUUUUAGCAUGAGCUUCGGCUUAUCCACGCUUAGGAUGCGGGUUUAUGGCUGUAUAUGACC
rnacentral:rRNA from 1 species